rnacentral:rRNA from 1 species
UACGUAGGGUGCAAGCGUUGUCCGGAAUUAUUGGGCGUAAAGAGCUCGUAGGCGGUUAGUCGCGUCUGCUGUGAAAACUCGGGGCUUAACUCCGGGCCUGCAGUGGGUACGGGCUGACUAGAGUGCGGUGGGGAGACUGGAAUUCCUGGUGUAGCGGUGAAAUGCGCAGAUAUCAGGAGGAACACCGGUGGCGAAGGCGGGUCUCUGGGCCGUAACUGACGCUGAGGAGCGAAAGCGUGGGGAGCGAACAGG